GAUGAACGCUGGCGGCGUGCCUAAUACAUGCAAGUCGAGCGAACAGACGAGGAUCUUGCUCCUCUCACGUUAGCGGCGGACGUGUGAGUAACACGUGUAUAACCUACCUAUAAGACUGGUAUAACUUCGGGAAACCGGAGCUAAUACCGGAUAAGCUAUUGAACCACAUUGUUCAAUAGUAAAAUACGGUUUUUCGGGCACUUAUAGAUGGAUCUGCGCCGUAUGGGCUGGUUGGGAAGGUAACGGGUUACCAAGGGGACGAUGCGUAGACGACCGGAGAGAGUGAUCGGCGACACUGGAGGUGAGACGCGGACAUGAGGACUAAGGGAGGCAGCAGUCGCGAAUGUUCCGCAAUGGGGGAGAGCAUGACGGAGCAACGGCGCGUGAGUGAUGGCGGUCUUCGGAUCGUAAAACUCUGUUACUAGUGAAGAACCAAUGUGUAAGUAACUAUGCACGUCUUGACGGUACCUAAUAAGAAAGCCACGGCUAACUACGUG
rnacentral:rRNA from 1 species